ensembl:lncRNA
CUUGGGAAAAGGAGCUGAUCAGAAAUCCCUGCUACCCAAGAUCUCAUUCAUGUUAUCCCAGUAGGUCUAUCCCCUUUUUCUCUCGUUUCCUUUCACUCCUCAGAACUCUAAGUAAAUGCAAGAGCAGUAAUUGACUGUGUAAAUCACUUCAUUUGUUUGUGAAGCUAAAAAUCUACCUCCUCCACCCCCACCUAACACAGUGGGAAUAGUAACUUCCAGUUCUCUCCCAACUCUAGGACAUGUCCAACCUGUAAAACCCACCUGUUCUGUCACCCUCAGCUUCUGGUGUCUACUUUCUAGACUGAAGGCAAUACUGGAAAGGUCGGAUUCAAGGGCUUUCAGAUUGACCACCCAUGAAUAUGGGGCUGCGACCCCUAAGGAGGACCUCAGGUGUCUUUUCCCAAGCGAACGUUCUGGAUCUGCCCUUUCUGCGGCUCACCUCCCCAGCCGGUCUUUUGGCUUCAUCUUUGAUUGCUGGCUCUUGUGCUAUUGGAUCAGUGGGGACAUCUAUCUUCUGUCUUCAAACAUCAGAGUUUCUGGUUCCUGGGCCUUUGGACUUGGACUAGAACUUUACUACCAGCUGUCCUGGUUCCCUAGCUUGUGGACAGCAGAGCGUAGAACUUCUUAGCCUCCAUAAUCACAUGUAGAAGUAGCUAAAUCCCAAACCACUGUUUGUUCAUCAAAAGACAAAUACUAUCAUCUCUACCUCCAACACAAAGAAAGUGUCAAUCCAUGGACUGGCUCCUCUCAGGAUAAUUUGGUGUCUCAAGUGUGAAGUCUUUUCACUGGAGCUUGAGAUGAAGGAGAAGAGGGAAUUCUAACAGUAUCCCAUCAUGCACCUGCCCUGACCAUCUCCCACCUAUUCUGGACCUACUCUUGACUAACAGUCACACGGUGUAGGGAAUCGAGUACAGAAAGCAGAGGAUGUGCUGGUUCUCUUUCCUGAGCCAGUAACUAACCACCUGACAGGAGGCAAGUCAUUUCUGCCAAAAAUUAUAAUAGCCAUCAUCUACUGAAAUUCUUAUGUGCCCCCUACUCUGAAAAUCCUUGAGAUAAAGAUGGAUUUACUUAUGCCCCUCCUUUAGUGACUACCAAAGUGCAGAUAGUUGGCGCUCAAAAUACAUUCAUUGAAUGUACAAUUGGGAUCAUUCUUUUUUCCUCUUUUUUUUUUGCCUGCUUCAUCUUUCCUUCAUAUAAAAUUGGGAUAAUUCUGCCUUGCCCAUGUUGUAGGGUUUUUAUAAAGAUUAAAUGAGUGCAUUUCUAUAAAAAGUCUUUGAGGUUGUAAAAUAUGCAAAUGUAAGGAAUCCACCUGUUUUGGGUCUAGGAAAAAAGUAGAAAAAAGAAGAAAUGAGAAAGAUAAAAGAGAGCUGGGAGUGAGGCAGGCAGCUAUAUUUGAAUGCAAUCUGAAGCCACUCGGAGGUGAAGGAAAGAGAUUUAAAUCGCUGCAAGAAUUUGAAGGCCACCUCCCACACAGCCUAUCAGUCUUUCAGUGACUGUUCUUCAAGACCUACUCAAAGACAGUCUGUCCUAUGAGCAGCUUUAGGGUACUGGGGAAAAGAAUUAUGACUGUCACAUCGUAUGAUGAAAUACCAAGUAGCAUUUCAAAGGUCAUGCUCCAGAAAGUCUGUUAAUGAGAUGGGGAAAAUGCUUAAGCAUAAAUUACAUAAUUUAAAAAAUAAAGCAGUUGAGAUCUUAAUUUUGUGAAAAAAAAGAAAAAUAUAUAUAUGUAUAAUAAAAAAGCGAUAAGAAAAGACUGAGAAGAGAUGUAUCAAUGUUACCAGUAAUAUACUAUGUCAUUUUAAUUGUCUUUUUAAUAUAUAUGCAUAGUUUAUAUACUCUUCAAUGAAUAAGUGAAUAAUUGAAAAUAUAACUGUGUGUGUGUUUGUGUAAACAUAUUCUAUUCUUCACUGUUCUAUCCAGGAACUGAUUUAGAUCUGAAUCAAUUGUUCCAAGAACCAAAAUCACCAGGAACUGAAUCACAUUCAAUCACCUUGAACCAAGUCCCAAUUUGAAAAAAUGAGACCUAUAAUUCAGCUUUUCGGUUUUGUCAGCUAUAAGGCUAGAUUGGGCUCUUUCCCCUUCAGCCCUGGAGGUUAGAUACCUGUCCCACGAUUGCUCUUCUUCUAAUAGCUGUGUGCUUUCAGACAUGUCACUGCCCCUCUCUGGGCCUCCCUCCUGUGCUGUAAAAUGAUGGGGCUGCAAUCAGGGCCACCUGGGCAGUUGUUAUGCCACUCAUGACUUUCUCCUGGCUCUUUUCCUCUGUGUUUGGUUUUUUCCAUUUUACUGACCCUUACAAUUCUUCCCAAGGAAAAGAAGUGAAACGCAAAUGAGUUUUUUGAGUUUUUGUUGACACUUCUAACUGCAGGUUGGAAGGCUCCAGGGUCUUUGGCCCUGGUGGGGUAGGUUCUGCUCGCUGGGGAAUCAGGCCUGAGCUGGCUCUGAUCCCUCUCCCUUCUCCUAAUCACUGUCCUGGCUGCAGAACUCUAGGCUGGCACCAGAACAGCAGCCAACAUUUGGCUGACACAGGACAUAAUUUUUAAUCAUGGGAAGGCAGACAUAAGUACAACAGGCCUCUUUUUUUCAUGCAGGUUCAAGUAUCUGCUUUGGGGUUAGGUCUGUCUGUAUUUGGCAGGGCGGGUCCUGGGGAAGUUCUGGUAUUCGUGACCGAAAGGCCAGUCUCCUUCCUUUUUCAGGAAUGGAAGCAGCACAAAUUGUUCUGAUCAGGGAGCAAUAACACGCCACGACCCCCAGGGCUCCCAGGCAGGCGGAGGGGGCACCCAGUCUCAGCAGCCCACGACCUGCUCGCCCCCACGAGCCGCAUGCCUCACAUUUCCCCAGCUCCAGCCUCCUUUCAAAGGCCCUUUAUUAAACCACCAACUAUUUGCUGUCGAGACAUUUAGGAUGAAAUCAUUGUGUUAAACAAAUAAACGCAGCUUCGUCCAGAUUUCUGCUCUGGGAGCAGAGUAAGAAAAUAAUUUCUGUCUGCUCACCACAAAAGCGGCUGGAAAGGUCCAAAGAAAAAUAUUAUUUUUACUCCAUUGUGUGAAAUAUUGUCCUGGAGGAUCUGACCGGCUGAGCGUUUGAAGAGUUUGUGCUGGCAGGUUUCAAGGGUCCCCUGGGUCGGCCCCCUGGGAUUGUUUUCUGCAUUAAUAAACUUAGCAUGAUGUGUGUUAAAAGGAACAUUCUGUUUGCUUUGUAAAUAAGGGAUGUCAAACAAGAAGCAGAAGCCCUACAGACACUAGGUGAUGUGUUCUCGGAGCGGGG